ensembl:snoRNA SNORA70 Small nucleolar RNA SNORA70
UUGCAGCCAAUUAAGUGGACUAUGUUUGCUCCCCAUGGGGAUGUAGUGUGCCAUGGGCACACACAGAACCCUCCUCAGUGUGUAUACAAGUGCAGGUCGCCCUAAGGGACCCUGGAGACAGUC